rnacentral:rRNA from 1 species
GACGUAGGGCGCGAGCGUUGUCCGGAUUUAUUGGGCGUAAAGAGCUCGUAGGCGGCUUGUCGCGUCGAAUGUGAAAACUCGGGGCUCAACCCCGCGCUUGCAUUCGAUACGGGCAGGCUCGAGUUCGGUAGGGGAGACUGGAAUUCCUGGUGUAGCGGUGAAAUGCGCAGAUAUCAGGAGGAACACCGGCGGCGAAGGCGGGUCUCUGGGCCAUAACUGACGCUGAGGAGCGAAAGCGUGGGGAGCGAACAGG